rnacentral:pre_miRNA from 1 species
AGAUUUUUGAAUCCAUGUUGAGAUUUCGUCAGACACCAACCCAUUAGGACUGAUCAAACUUCUAAGAUAAGUGAAGUU